rnacentral:lncRNA from 13 species
ACUGUGUACUCUUAAAAAACAUAUAUUAACCUUUAAACUGCUUUGUAAGCUAUUAUCACAAGCCCCUGAUAACUAUUUUUAUGUGGUUUCUGUUCCCUUUUCUGUUUACCCCUUUUCUGCUGAGCUAACGUAAAUGUAACAAGAAAAAAGUUAUAAAAGCUGUAACCCACAAAAAUAAAGCGGCUGUCGUUUGACUAUGAGUCAUGCAGACCUCUAGACCUCGCUGUUCUUUCUUCUUUCACUUCCGUGCACUCUCUCCCUCAGGUUGAACGAGACAUCUACGUUGGUGGUCUCAGGGACUCCCGCAGGUCGGCAGCCCCCCUGGCAGACGUGCCGGACCCCAACAUCUGAUAUUGGCUACAGUGCAAUGGUGUAAUCUUGGCUCACUGUAAUCUCUGCCUCUCGGGUUCUAGUGGUCUCCUGCCUCAGCCUUCCGAGUAGCUGGAAUUACAGACAAAAGCCAUUUCAGAGUCUCACUCGGGUGUCUGCUCCCUCCUUGGAAGCCUCUAGGGGAGGCACCCCCUGAGCUGUCUCAGGGCCCCGGAAUGCCACUGCAGAAGAGCGCCCACCCGGCCGACAUUCACCCAAAAUUCUUCAGGGUCCUUAAAACCUCCGGAGGGGCGUCCUAACAUCUAGAAAACUGCAACUGGGGAGGACUCAAGAUGGCGCUGUGAGAACAACCCAGGAAUGGAGCUCGCGUUGUGUCCGCGGAAAGGUGAGUCUGAGCUGCAUUUCCAGACUGAUCUUUGUUGCCCACGGAAUGGGGAAAUUCCCAAGUGAAGAGGAGACACGGGACGCCAGGCAGAACCUCCGCCUGGUGAAGCCGGCAGCUGGGGUGGUGGCGGCCGGCCCUACCCAGCACUCCCCACAGGGCGCGC